rnacentral:rRNA from 1 species
CACGUAGGGGGCGAGCGUUGUCCGGAUUUAUUGGGCGUAAAGAGCGUGUAGGCGGCCCGGUAAGUCCGCUGUAAAAGUCAAAGGCUCAACCUUUGAAUGUCAGUGGAUACUGCCGGGCUAGAGUCCGGAAGAGGCGAGUGGAACUCCUGGUGUAGCGGUGGAAUGCGCAGAUAUCAGGAAGAACACCAACGGCGAAGGCAGCUCGCUGGGACGGUACUGACGCUGAGACGCGAAAGCGUGGGGAGCGAACAGG